rnacentral:rRNA from 1 species
AACGAACGCUGGCGGCAUGCCUAACACAUGCAAGUCGAACGAGACCUUCGGGUCUAGUGGCGCACGGGUGCGUAACGCGUGGGAACCUGCCCUUAGGUUCGGAAUAACUCCCCGAAAGGGGUGCUAAUACCGGAUAAUGUCUUCGGACCAAAGAUUUAUCGCCUUUGGAUGGGCCCGCGUUGGAUUAGCUAGUUGGUAGGGUAAAAGCCUACCAAGGCGACGAUCCAUAGCUGGUCUGAGAGGAUGAUCAGCCACACUGGGACUGAGACACGGCCCAGACUGCGAGGGGAGGCAGAGGGGAGGAGAAGAGGACAGGGGGCGAAAGCAGGAACAAGCAAGGCGGGGUGGGUGAAGAAGGCGUGAGGGUUGAAAUGCUUGGUGACCCGGGAUGAAAAGAACAGCACAGGGAGAAACAGCGACGGCCAACUCCGUGCCGGCAGACGCGGUAAUAAUCGGAAGACCACGCGCCUAAC